rnacentral:rRNA from 1 species
AUUGAACGCUGGCGGCAGGCCUAACACAUGCAAGUCGAACGAGUGGCGGACGGGUAAGUAAUGUCUGGGAAACUGCCUGAUGGAGGGGGAUAACUACUGGACACGGUCGCUAAUACCGCAUACCAUGAGCUGGGCCAAGCUGGGAUUAGCUUGUUGGUGGGGUAACGGCUCACCAAGGCGAAGAACCCUAGCUGGGCUGAGAGGAUGACCAGCAACACUGGAAAGUAUACACGUUCCAGACUCCUACGGUAGGCAGAAGUGGGGAAUAUGGAACAAUGGGCGCAAGCCUGAUGCAGCCAUGCCGCGUGUAUUAAUAAGGCCUUCGGGUUGUAAAGUACUUUCAGCGGGGAGGCGUUACCCGCAGAAGAAGCACCGGCUAACUCCGUGCCAGCAGCCGCGGUAAUAC